AGAGCAGGAUAGAUAGAGAGUAUACGCACAGCACUUCAUAAGGUCCGCCCUUAGUGCUCCUACCUCUAGGCUCUAGGGAUCCGUUCCCAGCCCGUCCUCGCCAACUACGAUCGCGCUAAUCAAGUUAACGAAGCUGGAGUGAGCCAGCCAAGUCAAGCCGGAGCUUUAAGGAGAGCUCUUACUGUAUUGUAUAAUCAUC
rnacentral:lncRNA from 1 species